UUCCCACGUGGGACUGUAGUUAUGUGUUCCAGAACUUUCAAAUUCGUUGCAACAUAACAAAGGGGUCUCGUCCGUUACUAAACAAUUAAGUUAAAAUCACAAGACACGGACUUGCAACAGCCAUGCAACUCUUGUUAUCAUUUUUUUUGGUCACCGAGUUUACAGUUUUAAGUAGUUUCCUACAAACCAAUAAACCUGAAUUUGGGUUACAAACCAGGACAUAUGAUAUUUCACCGAUUGGUAAGAUUCAAAGCGGAGUAUCUUAUUAACCGACAUGCACCACCGCUUGCAAAUACUUCCGUCAAUUCCUUAGGUUUUAACCUUAGCGGUCUUAGUUCCUGGGCGGAAUAUUUACCGCGUUAGCUUGGAUACCGGAAAAAUUUCCGACAACCCAAAAUUC
rnacentral:misc_RNA from 1 species